GAUGAACGCUGGCGGCGUGCCUAAUACAUGCAAGUCGAGCGAACGGACGAGAAGCUUGCUUCUCUGAUGUUAGCGGCGGACGGGUGAGUAACACGUGGAUAACCUACCUAUAAGGCUGGGAUAACUUCGGGAAACCGGAGCUAAUACCGGAUAAUAUUUUGAACCGCAUGGUUCAAAAGUGAAAGACGGUCUUGCUGUCACUUAUAGAUGGAUCCGCGCUGCAUUAGCUAGUUGGUAAGGUAACGGCUUACCAAGGCAACGAUGCAUAGCCGACCUGAGAGGGUGAUCGGCCACACUGGAACUGAGACACGGUCCAGACUCCUACGGGAGGCAGCAGUAGGGAAUCUUCCGCAAUGGGCGAAAGCCUGACGGAGCAACGCCGCGUGAGUGAUGAAGGUCUUCGGAUCGUAAAACUCUGUUAUUAGGGAAGAACAUAUGUGUAAGUAACUGUGCACAUCUUGACGGUACCUAAUCAGAAAGCCACGGCUAACUACAUG
rnacentral:rRNA from 1 species